rnacentral:rRNA from 1 species
UCCGUAGGCGGUGCGGCAAGUCGGAAGUGAAAUCUCUGGGCUUAACUCAGAGGCUGCUUCCGAAACUGCCGUGCUCGAGUGUGAGAGAGGCGAGUGGAAUUACGGGUGUAGCGGUGAAAUGCGUAGAUAUCCGUAGGAACAUCCGAGGCGAAAGCGGCUCGCUGGAUCACAACUGACGCUGAGGGACGAAAGCUAGGGAGCAAACAGGAUUAGAUACCCUGGUAGUCCUAGCCCUAAACCAUCAGGACUUGGGGUUUGCCCUGUACGGGGCAAGUCCCGGAGCUAACGCGUUAAGUCCUGCGCCUGGGGAGUACGGUCGCAAGGCUGAA